rnacentral:rRNA from 1 species
GGCGGUGCGGCAGCUACCAUGCAGUCGAGCGGUAACACAGAGAGCUUGCUCUCGGGUGACGAGCGGCGGACGGGUGAGUAAUGUCUGGGAAACUGCCUGAUGGAGGGGGAUAACUACUGGAAACGGUAGCUAAUACCGCAUAACGUCGCAAGACCAAAGUGGGGGACCUUCGGGCCUCAUGCCAUCAGAUGUGCCCAGAUGGGAUUAGCUAGUAGGUGGGGUAAUGGCUCACCUAGGCGACGAUCCCUAGCUGGUCUGAGAGGAUGACCAGCCACACUGGAACUGAGACACGGUCCAGACUCCUACGGGAGGCAGCAGUGGGGAAUAUUGCACAAUGGGCGCAAGCCUGAUGCAGCCAUGCCGCGUGUAUGAAGAAGGCCUUCGGGUUGUAAAGUACUUUCAGCGAGGAGGAAGGCGUUAAGGUUAAUAACCUUAGCGAUUGACGUUACUCGCAGAAGAAGCACCGGCUAACUCCGUGCCAGCAGCCGCGGUAAUACGGAGGGUGCAAGCGUUAAUCGGAAUUACUGGGCGUAAAGCGCACGCAGGCGGUCUGUCAAGUCGGAUGUGAAAUCCCCGGGCUCAACCUGGGAACUGCAUUCGAAACUGGCAGGCUAGAGUCUUGUAGAGGGGGGUAGA